AAGACCUCGCGCUAUUAGAGCGGCCGAUGCCCGAUUAGCUAGUUGGUGAGGUAAUGGCCCACCAAGGCUACGAUCGGUAGCUGGUCUGAGAGGACGGCCAGCCACACUGGGACUGAGACACGGCCCAGACUCCUACGGGAGGCAGCAGUGGGGAAUUUUGGACAAUGGGGGCAACCCUGAUCCAGCCAUGCCGCGUGAGUGAAGAAGGCCUUCGGGUUGUAAAGCUCUUUCAGCCGGAACGAAACGGUUACGGUUAAUACCCGUGAUUACUGACGGUACCGGAAGAAGAAGCACCGGCUAACUACGUGCCAGCAGCCGCGGUAAUACGUAGGGUGCGAGCGUUAAUCGGAAUUACUGGGCGUAAAGCGUGCGCAGGUGGUUUUGUAAGUCAGAUGUGAAAGCCCCGGGCUCAACCUGGGAACU
rnacentral:rRNA from 1 species